rnacentral:rRNA from 1 species
UACGGAAGGCAGCAGUGGGGAAUAUUGCACAAUGGGCGCAAGCCUGAUGCAGCCAUGCCGCGUGUAUGAAAAAGGCCUUCGGGUUGUAAAGUACUUUCAGUCGUGAGGAAGGUGUUAAGGUUAAUAACCUUAGCAAUUGACGUUAGCGACAGAAGAAGCACCGGCUAACUCCGUGCCAGCAGCCGCGGUAAUACGGAGGGUGCGAGCGUUAAUCGGAAUUACCGGGCGUAAAGGGCACGCAGGCGGUUAAUUAAGUUGGAUGUGAAAUCCCCGGGCUUAACCUGGGAAUGGCAUUCAAGACUGGUUAGCUAGAGUCUUGUAGAGGGGGUAGAAUUCCAUGUGUAGCGGUGAAAUGCGUAGAGAUGUGGAGGAUACCGGUGGCGAAGGCGGCCCCUGGACAAGACUGACGCUCAUGUGCGAAAGCGUGGGGAGCAAACAGGGAUUAGAUACC